rnacentral:misc_RNA from 1 species
GUUUCCCCUGGUCUGACUCAUCCACUAGGAGUAUCAGAAAUUGAAAGUGGAAUAAAUUUUGCAAUUUUUUCGCAGCAUGCUUCUGCAGUUACACUUUGCAUAAUUCUUCCAAAGAGUGUUCAUGAUGGAAUGAUUGAAUUAGCAUUGGAUCCACAGAAGAACCGCACCGGAGACAUAUGGCACAUAUGCAUUAAGGAGUUGCCCCGAGGUGGGGUCCUUUAUGGUUAUCGCAUUGAUGGACCUCGAAAUUGGCAUGAAGGGCAUCGAUUUGACGAUAGCAUUAUUUUGAUUGAUCCUUACGCAAAACUAAUUGAAGGUCGACGAGCUUUUGGAGAUGAAAGCAAUAAAAUGUGUAGAUUUUUUGGAACUUAUGAUUUCAAUAGCUUGCCUUUUGACUGGGGAG